rnacentral:rRNA from 1 species
CCUCGGAUGGUCGCAUGGCCGACCGAGGAAAUGCUCUGGCGCUCUGGAAGGUCUCGCGGCCUAUCAGCUAGUUGGUGGGGUAACGGCCUACCAAGGCAUCGACGGGUAGUUGGUCUGAGAGGCGAUCAGCCACACUGGGACUGAGACCCGGCCCAGACUUUUACGGGGGGCAGCAGUGGGGAAUAUUGCGCAAUGGGCGAAAGCCUGACGCAGCAACGCCGCGUGAGGGAUGCCGGCCUUCGGGUUGUAAACCUCUUUCAGUGAUGACGAAAAUGACGGUAGUCACAGAAGAAGCUCCGGCCAACUACGUGCCAGCAGCCGCGGUAACACGUAGGGAGCGAGCGUUGUCCGGAUUCAUUGGGCGUAAAGAGCUCGUAGGCGGUUGCGUAAGUCGGAUGUAAAACCUCAGGGCUCAACCCGGAGAUGCCAUCCGAUACUGCGCUGACUAGAGUCCGGUAGGGGAGCAUGGAAUUCCUGGUGUAGCGGUGGAAUGCGCAGACAUCAGGAGGAACCCCAGUGGCGAAGGCGGUGCUCUGGGCCGGUACUGACGCUGAGGAGCGAAAGCGUGGGGAGCGAACAGGAUUAGAUACCCUGGUAGUC